CAAGUACUCCCUCCGUCCAAUAAAAAAUGUUUUAACUUUAACCAAAUUUGAAUGUAUCCAUACACUAAGUCAUGUCUAGAUACAUCAAAAUUUUGACAAACUUGAAACAUUUUUUGUUGGAGAGAGGGAGUACUUA
rfam:Brachypodium distachyon strain Bd21 chromosome 2, whole genome shotgun sequence.